rnacentral:rRNA from 1 species
GACGAACGCUGGCGGCGUGCCUAAUACAUGCAAGUUGAGCGAUGAAGCUUGGUGCUUGCUCCUAUUUGAAUAGCAGCGGACGGGUGAGUAACGCGUGGGUAAUCUGCCUUUGAGCGUGGGACAACAUUUGGAAACGAAUGCUAAUACCGCAUAACAACUUUAAACAUAUGUUUUAAUUUUGAAAGAUGCAAUUGCAUCACUCAAUGAUUAUCCCGCGUUCUAUUAGCUAGUUGGUGAGGUAAAGGCUCACCAAGGCGAAGAUACAUAGCCGACCUUAGAGGGUGGUCGGCCACAUUGGGAAGGAGACAAGGCCCAAAACCCUAAGGGAAGCAGGAGGAGGGAAACUUUGGGAAUGGAGGAAAGGCUGAACGGGGAAAGCCGGGGGAAGGAAGAAGGGUCUCGGAUCGGAAAAAUCUGUUGAUAGGGAAGAACGUUAGUGAGAGUGAAAAGCGCAUAAAGUGACGGUAACUAAUCAGAAAGGGACGGCUAACUACGUG